GUGGGGAAUCUUCCGCAAUGGACGAAAGUCUGACGGAGCAACGCCGCGUGAGUGAAGAAGGUUUUCGGAUCGUAAAGCUCUUUCGUUAGGGACGAACGUGCUCUUUGUGAAUAAUGAGGAGUAAUGACGGUACCUAAAUAAGAAGCCACGGCUAACUACGUGCCAGCAGCCGCGGUAAUACGUAGGUUGCAAGCGUGGUCCGGAAUUAUUGGGCGUAAAGCGCGCGCAGGCGGGAUAUCAAGUCUGUCUUAAAAGUGCGAGGCUCAACCUCGUGAGGGGACAGAAACUGGUAUUCUUGAGUGUCGGAGAGGAAAGUGGAAUUCCAAGUGUAGCGGUGAAAUGCGUAGAGAUUUGGAAGAACACCAGUGGCGAAGGCGACUUUCUGGACGAUGUCUGACGCUGAGGCGCGAAAGCUAGGGGAGCGAACGGGAUUAGAAACCCCGGUAGUCC
rnacentral:rRNA from 1 species